rnacentral:lncRNA from 1 species
GUAGUAUAUUUGGGGUUUUAUUAGGAAAAAACUUCACACAUUCUAUUGCGUCCUAAGGUUAAUUAGUCCUUAUUUCAUCAUUUGCUUCUUGAGUUUUUGUUUUGUUUUAGAUCCUCUACUAUGAAAAUUUCCCCCUUCUUUUAUCAUCUUUUUCACUUUUAUAGAAAUACCCAACUCUGUCUGUAACUAUAAUUGGAGAGGUCUUGCUCCUCUUUCAUCUUAGGAAUAGAUAUAAGAG